AAAUUCUCCCAUGUUUGAUUUCAGUUCUCGUAUCUAUAAUGGGAGGGGUGGUCAGAGAUAUUUUGAGGGAUUCGAAAUUCGAAUUUGAAUUUUGAAUAGGUUGUUAGAUAGUUGGAGGUUUUUUGGGAAUUGGUUGGAGAUUCGAAAUUCGUAAUCGAAUUUUGAAUCGGUUGUUGGAUGGUUGGAAUUGGUUGGGAAUUCGAAAUUCGAAAUCGAAUUUUAAAUCGGUUGUUGGAUGGUUGGAGGAUUUUUGGGAAUUGCUUAGGGAUUCGAAAUUCGAAAUCGAAUUUUGAAUCGGUUGUUGGAGGAUAUUUUGAAAAUUGGUUAGAAAUUCGAAAUUCGAAAUUGAAUUUUGAAUAGGUUGCUGGAUGGUUAGGUAUUCAAAAUUCGAAUGAGAGAUAUUUUGGGUGUUGGUUCGAAAUUCGAAAUCGAAUUUCGAAUCGAAUUUAAAUAUGGUAUUCGAGAUUGAAUUUUUAAAUGUGGGUAAAAAUGUGGGCCGUUAUUUCAUGAAUUGGGCUGAAAUUGGGCCCACUUUGAUGAAACUUGUUGGGUAGGAAUAUUCAUUGGGC
rnacentral:lncRNA from 1 species